GGAGGAAAAGAAACUAACUAGGAUUCCCUUAGUAACGGCGAGUGAACCGGGAUGAGCUCAAAUUUAAAAUCUGGCGUCUUUCAGGCGUCCGAGUUGUAAUCUAUAGAGGCGUUUUCCGCGCCGGACCGCGUCCAAGUCUCUUGGAAUAGAGUAUCAAAGAGGGUGACAAUCCCGUACUUGACGCGACAACCGGUGCUCUGUGAUACGUUCUCAAUGAGUCGAGUUGUUUGGGAAUGCAGCUCUAAAUGGGUGGUAAAUUCCAUCUAAGGCUAAAUAUUGGCGAGAGACCGAUAGCGAACAAGUACCGUGAGGGAAAGAUGAAAAGCACUUUGGAAAGAGAGUUAAACAGCACGUGAAAUUGUUAAAAGGGAAACGAUUGAAGUCAGUCGUGUGAAAGGUAUUCAGCCGUCUCUGGCGGUGUAUUUGCCUUUCACGGGUCAACAUCAGUUUGAUCCGGUAGAAAAAGGCGGGAGGAAGGUGGCACCCUCGGGUGUGUUAUAGCCUCCUGUCAUAUGUGCCGGACCAGACUGAGGAACGCAGCUUGCCGCAAGGCCGGGGUUCGCCCACGUACAAGCUUAGGA
rnacentral:rRNA from 1 species